UCCUACGGGGGGCAGCAGUGAGGAAUAUUGGGCAAUGGGCGAAAGCCUGACCCAGCAACGCCGCGUGGAGGAAGACGGCCUUCGGGUUGUAAACUCCUUUUACGGGGGAAGAGGAAGGACGGUACCCCGAGAAUAAGUCACGGCUAACUACGUGCCAGCAGCCGCGGUAAUACGUAGGUGACAAGCGUUAUCCGGAAUUACUGGGCGUAAAGCGCACGCAGGCGGCGCAUUAAGUCUGACGUGAAAUCUCUCGGCUUAACCGGGAGGGGUCGUUGGAGACUGAUGUGCUUGAGGCGAUGAGAGGGGUGUAGAAUUCCCGGUGUAGUGGUGGAAUGCGUAGAUAUCGGGAGGAAUACCAGUGGCGAAAGCGGCACCCUGGCAUUGGCCUGACGCUCAUGUGCGAAGGCGUGGGGAGCGAACGGGAUUAGAUACCCCGGUAGUCCACGCGGUAAACGAUGAGUACUAGGUGUGGGUGGAGUGAAAUCCAUCUGUGCCGAAGCAAACGCGCUAAGUACUCCGCCUGGGGAGUACGGCCGCAAGGCUAAAACUCAAAGGAAUUGACGG
rnacentral:rRNA from 1 species